GUUAUAUGGUCAAGUGAAGAAGCGCAUACGGUGGAUGCCUUGGCAGUCAGAGGCGAUGAAAGACGUGGUAGCCUGCGAAAAGCUUCGGGGAGUCGGCAAACAGACUUUGAUCCGGAGAUCUCUGAAUGGGGGAACCCACCUAGGAUAACCUAGGUAUCUUGUACUGAAUCCAUAGGUGCAAGAGGCGAACCAGGGGAACUGAAACAUCUAAGUACCCUGAGGAAAAGAAAUCAACCGAGAUUCCCUUAGUAGUGGCGAGCGAACGGGGAUUAGCCCUUAAGCUUCAUUGAUUUUAGCGGAACGCUCUGGAAAGUGCGGCCAUAGUGGGUGAUAGCCCCGUACGCGAAAGGAUCUUUGAAGUGAAAUCGAGUAGGACGGAGCACGAGAAACUUUGUCUGAACAUGGGGGGACCAUCCUCCAAGGCUAAAUAC
rnacentral:rRNA from 1 species